CGUUCCGGGCCUUGUACACACCGCCCGUCACACCAUGGAAGCCGGUAACACCCGAAGCCGGUGGCCUAACCCGCAAGGGAGGGAGCCGUCGAAGGUGGGAUUGGUGACUGGGGUG
rnacentral:rRNA from 1 species